rnacentral:rRNA from 1 species
UACGUAGGGUCCGAGCGUUGUCCGGAAUUACUGGGCGUAAAGAGCUCGUAGGUGGUUUGUCACGUUGUUCGUGAAAACCCACAGCUCAACUGUGGGCGUGCGAGCGAUACGGGCAGACUAGAGUACUGCAGGGGAGACUGGAAUUCCUGGUGUAGCGGUGGAAUGCGCAGAUAUCAGGAGGAACACCGGUGGCGAAGGCGGGUCUCUGGGCAGUAACUGACGCUGAGGAGCGAAAGCGUGGGUAGCAAACAGG